GCUGGCGGCGUGGAUUAGGCAUGCAAGUCGUGCGUGAAAGGGGAGCAAUCCCCGAGUAAAGCGGCGAACUGGUGAGUAACAGGUGGGUAACGUGCCCUGAAGUGGGGGAUAACACCGGGAAACCGGUGCUAAUACCGCAUGUGGCGUCAAGGACUCUGGUCCCUGCCGCUAAAGCAGCAGUGCGCUUCAGGAUCGGCCCGUCCCCGAUUAGCUUGUUGGUGAGGUAACGGCUCACCAAGGCGACGAUCGGUAGCUGGUCUGAGAGGAUGGUCAGCCACACUGGAACUGAGAUACGGUCCAGACUCCUACGGGGGGCAGCAGUCUAGAGGCUUCGUCAAUGGGGGCAACCCUGAACGAGCGACGCCGCGUGUGGGAUUGAAGGCCUUCGGGUCGUAAACCACUGUCAUUGGGGAAGAAUGCCCGGAUGGCGAAUCCGGGAGCGACGGUACCCAAGGAGGAAGCCCCGGCUAACUCCGUGCCAGCAGCCGCGGUAAUACGGAGGGGGCAAGCGUUGUUCGGAUUUACUGGGCGUAAAGGGUGUGUAGGCGGCUGGAUAAGUCUGGCGUGAAAUCUUCACCGCUCAACGGGAAGGGGUCGCUGGAAACUGUUCAGCUUGAGUGUGGUAG
rnacentral:rRNA from 1 species